AGUUCAGAUUGCAGGCUGCAACUCGCCUGCAUGAAGUUGGAAUUGCUAGUAAUCGCGAAUCAGAAUGUCGCGGUGAAUACUUCCCGGGCCUUGUACACACCGCCCGUCACACCAUGAGAGUCGAUAACACCCGAAGCCUGUGAGCUAACCGCAAGGAGGCAGCCGUCGAAGGUGGGGUUGAUGAUUGGGGUGAAGUCGUAACAAGGUAUC
rnacentral:rRNA from 1 species